rnacentral:sRNA from 1 species
GAUCAUUAGCGAAUAAACUUGUGUGGGUUGUUGCUGACCUCCUCGGAGGUAUGUGCACGCUUGCCAUUGUUUCAUUCCCCUUCCACCUGUGCACUUUUUGUAGACCAUACUGUCGCUUUUCGGGUUGCUCGCAUCCCGGUUGUGAGGACUUGCUCCGGCUGUCCUUGGAUGGUGUGGUCUAUGUCUUUUAUCAACUCUGUAUGUAACCGAAUGUUUGUUCUGGGUCUAUACCCAUAAAAUUUAUACAACUUUCAACAACGGAUCUCUUGGCUCUCGCAUCGAUGAAGAACGCAGCGAAAUGCGAUAAGUAAUGUGAAUUGCAGAAUUCAGUGAAUCAUCGAAUCUUUGAACGCACCUUGCGCUCCUUGGUAUUCCGAGGAGCAUGCCUGUUUGAGUGUCAUUAAAUCCUCAACCUCAUAUUCCUUGUGAACGUGAGAUUGGAUGUGGAAGUUUGCUGGCCUCGCGGUCAGCUCUUCUGAAAUGCAUUAGCAGGGCCGCUGUAUUGCGAGGCUGUCGCUUGGUAUUGAUAGUUGUCUUACCAGGUCUCAGAGUUAGCAAUGUGCCCCAGCUUCUAGUCGUCUCUCUGGGACAAUAACUUGACGAUUUGACCUCAAAUCAGGUAGGACUACCCGCUGAACUUAAGCAUAUCAAUAAGCGGAGGAAAAGAAACUAACAAGGAUUCCCCUAGUAACUGCGAGUGAAGCGGGAAGAGCUCAAAUUUAAAAUCUGGCAGUCUCUGGCUGUCCGAG